AUUAAAGUGACAGAAAAAUGUGAGGAAUUUAAGCUUCCUUUAUGAAAAUUUCCUUUAAUA
rnacentral:tRNA from 1 species